UACGUAGGGUGCGAGCGUUAAUCGGAAUUACUGGGCGUAAAGCGUGCGCAGGCGGUUCGUGAUGUCUGGUGUGAAAGCCCCGGGCUUAACCUGGGAAUUGCAUUGGAAACUAGCGGCUGGAGUGUGGCAGAGGGGGGUGGAAUUCCACGUGUAGCAGUGAAAUGCGUAGAGAUGUGGAGGAACACCGAUGGCGAAGGCAGCCCCCUGGGCUAACACUGACGCUCAUGCACGAAAGCGUGGGGAGCAAACAGG
rnacentral:rRNA from 1 species